UACGAAGGGGCGAGCGUUGUUCGGAAUCAUUGGGCGUAAAGGGCGCGUAGGCGGGUUUGUAAGUUCGAUUGUGAAAUCCCUGGGCUUAAACCCGGGGAAUUGCAGUCGAAACUGCAAGUCUUGAGUUCUCGAGAGGAUGGUGGAAGUUCCUGGGAGUGAGUAGUGAAAUAACGUAGAUAUCAGGAGGAACACCGGAGGCGAAGGCGGCCGAUCUCGGCGAGACACUGACGCUAAGGCGCGAAAGCGAUGGGUAGCAAA
rnacentral:rRNA from 1 species